rnacentral:tmRNA from 1 species
GGGGCUGUACCGGUUUCGACGGGACAGAAGAAGUAUGAUAAGCCAUUCGCAGACUGUGACUGCGUCACAAAAACAGACCUUAAAUAUAAAAGCAGACAAUAGAGUCGCUUUAGCAGCGUAAGCUGUUUGUCACCCGAGAGUCGCUCAUUGCUUUCGCAAGUGGCAUCAUAAAAGAUGAGGAACUUUGCCGUAAAAGCUUUGAUACGGUAAAAGAAAAUAUGAAGCUACCCCUUUAGGGGGUGUGCCGUCCCACAACUUAAAGGGGGAAUUUAAAUGAACGGCUGUAAUGGGAGAAAGUCAUACGGGCACUAUUUCGGACAGGGGUUCGACUCCCCUCAGCUCCAU